ACCCUUUGUUUACUGAACCUUUUGUUGCUUCGGCGGGCCCGUCGUCUCGCGACGACCGCCGGAGGACCGCCGCGAGGCGUCCUCUGGCCCGCGCCCGCCGGUGGCCAACACACAAAUUCUUCUGUAUGAAUCGUGUCUACUCUAAGUCUUGAUUAUCAAUCAAAAAUAAAACUUUCAACAACGGAUCUCUUGGUUCUGGCAUCGAUGAAGAACGCAGCGAAAUGCGAUAAGUAAUGCGAAUUGCAGAAUUUCAGUGAGUCAUCGAAUCUUUGAACGCACAUUGCGCCCUUUGGUAUUCCGAAGGGCAUGCCUGUUCGAGCGUCAUUAUCACCCCUCGAGCCCCCGGGCUUGGUGUUGGACGGCUUGGUCGCGCCCCCCGGGCACCGACCCCUCCUAAAGACAAUGACGGCGGCCUCGCGGAGCCCCCGGUACAGUGAGCUUCUUAACUGAGCACGUAUCGGAUUUCAGGGCGCCCGGGCCACGGUCCUCUCCCGCU
rnacentral:rRNA from 1 species